rnacentral:tRNA from 1 species
CGGAUAUAGUUCAUCGGUAGAACGUCGGCUUCCCAAGCCGAAAGGGUGGGUUCGAUUCCCAUUAUCCG